GGGGGGGGGGGGGGGUGGGGGGGGGGGGGGGGGGGCGGGGGGGGGGGGGGGGGGGGGGGGGGGGGGGGGGUGGGGGGGGGCGGGGGGGUGGGGGGUGGAGCGGGAGCGACUUGUUCGGGGGGGGGAGCGUGGGGAGGCUGGCGCGAAUACCGCGUACGACCUACGGGUGAAAGCAGGGGACCUUCGGACCGUGCGCGCGUGAAUGCGCCGAGGUCGGAUUAGCUAGUUGGUGGGGUAGAGGCCCACCACGGCGAGGAUCCGUAGCUGGUCUGAGAAGAUGAUCAGCCACACUGGAACUGGGACACGGUCCAGCCGACUACGGGAGGAAGCAGUGGGGAAUAUUGGACGAUGGGCGCAAGCCUGAUCCAGCCAUACCGCGUGGGUGAAGAAGGCCUUCGGGUGGUAAAGCCCUUUUGUUGGGAAAGAAAAGCAGCAGGUUAAUACCCCGCUGUCCUGACGGUACCCAAAGAAUAAGCACCGGCUAACUUCGUG
rnacentral:rRNA from 1 species